GGAUGUGAGGACGACCUAGCUGCGACAUCUGUCACCCGUGGAUCGCCAGGGUUGAUCUGGCUGGCUAGGUGUGUGUCCCCUUCCUUCCUUCCUUCCUUCCUUCCUUCCUUCCUUCCUUCCUUCUCCUUCCCUCCCUCCCUCCCUUUCUUCCUUCCUCCCUCACCGCUCCAUGUGUCCCUCCUGAAGCUCCGCGGGACUUCCCCGAAUAGAGGAGGGCAGUGGUAUAAGAGUGGUUGUACUCCCCUGCUAGAACCUCCAAACAAGCUCUCAAGGUAGUGGGAAGGUAAGUCUGGAGAGGUUUUAGCAAGGAGA
rnacentral:snRNA from 1 species